UCGCAGGAAACUCAAGUCCUGUCUUCCCAUUCAGCGGUCAGCACUGACAACAGAACCUUAAGCAGUAUGUUGGUGCUGCAGUGGGUUUUGGUGACUGCUCUUUUUCAAGGUGUGCAUUGUGCGGUGCAGCUUGUUGAGUCUGGUGGAGGAUUGGUGCAGCCUAAGGAGUCAUUGAAAAUCUCAUGUGCAGCCUCUGGAUUCACCUUCAGUAAUGCUGCCAUGUACUGGGUCCGCCAGGCUCCAGGAAAGGGUCUGGAAUGGGUUGCUCGCAUAAGAACUAAACCUAAUAAUUAUGCAACAUAUUAUGCUGAUUCAGUGAAAGGCAGAUUCACCAUCUCCAGAGAUGAUUCAAAAAGCAUGGUCUACCUACAAAUGGAUAACUUGAAAACUGAGGACACAGCCAUGUAUUACUGUACAGCAGCACAGUGAGAAGUCUUUAUUGUGA